AGAGUUUGAUCAUGGCUCAGGACGAACGCUGGCGGCGUGCUUAACACAUGCAAGUCGAGCGGGGCGUAGCAAUACGCCUAGCGGCGGACGGGUGAGUAACACGUGGGUAAUCUGCCCUCAAGUGGGGAAUAACACAAAGAAAUUUGUGCUAAUACCGCAUAGAACUGAUGCUCCGCAUGGGAUAUCAGUUAAAGAUUUAUUGCUUGAGGAUGAGCCCGCGGCCCAUUAGCUAGUUGGUGAGGUAACGGCCCACCAAGGCAACGAUGGGUAGCCGACCUGAGAGGGUGAUCGGCCACAUUGGAACUGAGACACGGUCCAGACUCCUACGGGAGGCAGCAGUGGGGAAUAUUGCACAAUGGGGGAAACCCUGAUGCAGCAACGCCGCGUGAGCGACGAAGGCCUUCGGGUUGUAAAGCUCUGUCUUCUCUGACGAAGUAUGACGGUAAGAGAGGAGGAAGCCACGGCUAACUACGUGCCAGCAGCCGCGGUAAUACGUAGGUGGCAAGCGUUGUCCGGAAUUAUUGGGCGUAAAGGGUGCGUAGGUGGCAGUUUAAGUGGGAUGUGAAAUACCUGGGCUUAACUCAGGGAUUGCAUUCCAAACUGGACUGCUAGAGUGCAGGAGAGGAAAGUGGAAUUCCCAGUGUAGCGGUGAAAUGCGUAGAGAUUGGGAGGAACACCAGUGGCGAAGGCGACUUUCUGGACUGUAACUGACACUGAGGCACGAAAGCGUGGGGAGCAAACAGGAUUAGAUACCCUGGUAGUCCACGCUGUAAACUAUGAGUACUAGGUGUAGGGGGGGUCACCUCUCUGUGCCGCAGUUAACACAAUAAGUACUCCGCCUGGGAAGUACGAUCGCAAGAUUAAAACUCAAAGGAAUUGACGG
rnacentral:rRNA from 1 species